rnacentral:rRNA from 1 species
GACGAACGCUGGCGGCGUGCUUAACACAUGCAAGUCGAACGGUGAAGGGAUCAGCUUGCUGGUUCUGGAUGAGUGGCGAACGGGUGAGUAACACGUGAGUAACCUGCCCCCUUCUUCUGGAUAACCGCAUGAAAGUGUGGCUAAUACGGGAUAUUCUGCGCCUGCUGCAUGGUGGGUGUGGGAAAGAUAUUGUUUCGGUGGGGGAUGGGCUCGCGGCCUAUCAGCUUGUUGGUGGGGUGAUGGCCUACCAAGGCGGUGACGGGUAGCCGGCCUGAGAGGGUGGACGGUCACACUGGGACUGAGACACGGCCCAGACUCCUACGGGAGGCAGCAGUGGGGAAGAUUGCACAAUGGGCGCAAGCCUGAUGCAGCGACGCCGCGUGAGGGAUGGAGGCCUUCGGGUUGUGAACCUCUUUCGCCAGUGAAGCAGGCCUGUCCCUUGUGGGUGGGUUGACGGUAGCUGGAUAAGAAGCGCCGGCUAACUACGUG